ACUCAAAGGAAUAGACGGGGGCCCGCACAAGCGGCGGAGCAUGUUGCUUAAUUCGACGCGACGCGAAGAACCUUACCAAGGUUUGACAUGGGUCGGACGCUUCCAGAGAUGGGGGUUUCUUUUGACCGGCUUACAGGUGGUGCAUGGCUGUCGUCAGCUCGUGUCGUGAGAUGUUGGGUUAAGUCCCGCAACGAGCGCAACCCUUGUCCUGUGUUGCCAGCACGCUCUUUGGGGUGGUGGGGACUCAUGGGAGACUGCCGGGGUCGACUCGGAGGAAGGCGGGGACGACGUCAAGUCAUCAUGCCCCUUAUGCCUUGGGCUGCAAACAUGCUACAAUGGUCGGUACAGAGGGUUGCGAGGCCGUGAGGCGGAGCGAAUCCCUUAAAGCCGGUCUCAGUUCGGAUCGGGGUCUGCAACUCGACCCCGUGAAGUCGGAGUCGCUAGUAAUCGCAGAUCAGCAUUGCUGCGGUGAAUACGUUCCCGGGCCUUGCACACACCGCCCGU
rnacentral:rRNA from 1 species